GACCUGGCUGGGCGGUCUUGCCGAAAGGUAAGCACUGCUCUGGUCGGGUCUUUCCUUCUGGGGAACCAGCGUGCUCUUAAUUGAGUGCGCUGGGGAUCCAGGACUUUUACUUUGAAAAAAUUAGAGUGUUCAAAGCAGGCCUUUGCUCGAAUAUGUUAGCAUGGAAUAAUAAAACAGGAC
rnacentral:rRNA from 1 species